rnacentral:rRNA from 1 species
GACGAACGCUGGCGGCGUGCUUAACACAUGCAAGUCGAACGGAAAGGCCCUGCUUGCAGGGUGCUCGAGUGGCGAACGGGUGAGUAACACGUGGGUGAUCUGCCCCUUACUUUGGGAUAAGCCUGGGAAACUGGGUCUAAUACUGGAUAGGACCAUGCUGUAGGUGGUGUGGUGGAAAGAUUUUUUCGGUAAGGGAUGAGCUCGCGGCCUAUCAGCUUGUUGGUGGGGUAAUGGCCUACCAAGGCGUCGACGGGUAGCCGGCCUGAGAGGGUGGACGGCCACAUUGGGACUGAGAUACGGACCAGACUCAUACGGGAGGCAGCAGUGGGGAAUAUUGCAAAAGGGGAGCAAGCCUGAUGCAGAGACGCCGAGUGGGGGAUGACGGUCUUCGGGUUGUAAACUCCUUCCAGCCAUGACGAAGACUCUUUUGGGGUGACGGUAGUGGUAGAAGAAGCACCGGCUAACUACGUG